CUUUCCCGUCUGCAGUCACCGCAAGAAUAGGCUGGGCUGGGCUGCUGAAGAAGGAGACACAUGGAAUAGAAUGGAGUUGCCCAGUCAUACUGGUUGAGACCUUUCUAUAUCAGAGCAGUAAGCCAGCCCCUAGACAUAAGGAAGCCCAGCAGAAGUCAGCAGAGCUCUUAGGCAAUUCACAGCUGCCUGCAGGGUGAGCCACUGAGCUCAGCUGAGCUGAACCUGUACUGUAUCAGCUGAACCCACAGACUCGCUGUGUUUUUUUCCUGCCUUUUUAACAUGUCAUAAAAUUUUUUGUGAAAAGCUGGACUUAAUGUAUUGGAGAAUUGAAACUGAGUUGGAAGAUUCUGUGCCUGUUGUCAAGGUGACACUCCCCGGAAUUUUAAAGAGAAGUUUUAAAGUAGGAUGCUUUGGCUAGUAUUUGCAGAAACAUAUACACUUUUUUUACAUGAUAAGGAAAACAACAGAUAUUUAUUCUUCAUCCCAGGGGGAAAAAAACCCUUGGAGGAAUAAUUCAGAGGCAACAUCCUUAACGGGUGAUCAGUAGACACAAGACUCAUCCCAGUGAGCCACUGGUUCUGGCAGCUGUGUGACUUUGGACAGAGAUAUCUACAAUCUUUCAAUAUUGUUUGUGCACCAACUGCAUUCUCCACGUUGUAUUACUGCAGAUUUAUUGAUGAGUAAAACAAAUUCCUACCCUCAAGGAGUUUGCAAGCAAAAGAGUGAAAUGAAGAUGAAAGUGCAAUGCUCCACUGUCUUUUCGUGUGCUCAGAGAUUACUUUCUUAAUCUUUAAAAUGAAAGGCUUUUGCCUAAAUGACUGAGUGAUGUUGCACCUAUAACCCUAAUAUUCUUUGAUUCCCAAGGACAAGAAUCAGAACUAACAAGGUAUAUAAUGACAAAAGAAUUUUCAUUAUGAGGAACUUAUCAAGAAAUCAUAGAGUGGAGAGACUUGCACUAAAAACACUUAAAAUGAAUGGGAAGCCCGUCAGCAUAUUGUAUGUCCAUAUUUUCCAAAAAGAGUUAAGUUUGUAAGCUACUGCAUAGGACCAUGGGAAUUCUGGAUGUCCUUGGACUGUAUCACAUGUGGUUUCUUGGCAUCUUAGAUGAUGCAAUUUUUUAUUGCUUUGUCCGUGCAAUAAACGCUGAUAAAUUUUUCGGUUUAAAAUUUACCAAGUCUGCUACUGUAUCCCAGAAUUCUCAAUGAAAGAAAAUAUUUACAGUUUUUAACAUUACAGGUAGAAAAAGGAUCAAAGUGAUUUUCUUAAAUUUCCUUCUAAUUCAUGGAAAAAAGAACACAGUCAGUGAGGGUCUUUGCUCCUGUUCCCCAAUUUUCUUUGUCCAAAUGGCUCAGCCUUGAAUUCAAGAGGAGUGGUGCAGGAUUUAAUUGCUCCCACUUGUCUUCCUUGUGCAAAACUGCAGCUAGAAGAGCAAAUGAUAAGUUGAGAAUAUUUAACACUCAGCAACAAUACCAGGAACUUGUUCAAACUUUGUUUUUGAAGCUUCUUGACCUUCCAAUGAUUUAUUUCUUCCACACAUGGUUUCAUUAGAACUUCACUUGGAGAAGAAGAGAAAUAGCAAAUAACAGCAUCUUUCAUCUAUAACCAGAAUAUUCCAAGCCUUUCAAAAGUUGUUGCAAAAAGAAUAAAGUAUGAGCUACCUAGGCCUUGUUUGUCUGAGUCUUGCAUCCUGCUCAUAAAAGUAACACAAAAUUUUUUCAACAAGGACUAAGAAUGAGCUUAUUAUUUUUUAACAUACAUACAAUUUAUUCAUGAUAAUAUUGCUAGUAGAAGCCUGGAAAUAACUGAGAUGCCAAUAAACAGGAAAAUUACUAAUUAUAUCUAUACAAUGAAAUCUAUGCAACUGAUUUAAAAUUAAGGAUGCACCCUCUUAUUUUUAGUGUGUAUGUAUAAAUGGAUACGUGGUAUGUUGUCAAAGAAGGUUUAGAAGUUCAAUUUAAAUAAUACUGAAGAUACCUGCUAUUGUAUAAGCAAUGAAAAUGCUAUACAGAUGUUCUGAAAUAAAACAAACACACCCAUACUCUGACCACUGAACUUUGGACCAGUAUUGCUCUUCAUUAGUAUCCUAAAAUGUAUGGACAUUUUAUGGGUCAUUGUUCCAAACCUGUCUUUGGAGCUAUUUGGAGUAGCACAGAACCAACCUGUCUUUAGAGCUUCCUUGAGCAGCACAGAAAAGGGACUUUCAGAGCUUCAGGAGACAGUAUUUCAUCCAAGUGCAGCUUCUGGAAGUGAAAUGUAUUUAGAAGGUUUGCUCUGCUAUUGUAAUUUCCCAAGUAGGCCCAUGUGACUCUGCAAACCCUAGGCCUGAGCCAGAUUUGUUUGAAAUGUCAGCCAAACUACCAGCACCUUACAUCAUGAUAUGGUCUGACUCUGUGUUCCCAUCCAAAUCUCAUAUCAAAUUGUAAUUCCCAGUGUUGCAGGAGGGGCCCAGUGGGAGGUGAUCGAAUCAUGGGGGUGGACCUCCCCCUUGCUGUUCUUGUGAUAGAAUUUUCCUUAUAUCUGCUUGUUUAAAAGUGUGUUUAAAGGCACCUUCCCCACACUUCCUGCCAGCCAUAUGAAGAUGGGCUUGCUUCCCUUUCAACUUCUGCCAUGAUUGUAAGUUUCCUGAGGCCUACCCAGAAACAGAAGCCUGUACAGCCUGCAGAACUAUGAGCUGAUUAAACCUCUUUUCUUUAUAAAUUACCCAGUCUCCAGUAUGUCUUUAUAGCAAUGUUGAGAACAGACUAACUCCAUGAGCAUCUCAAAUGUCAUCAUCACAGGUAAUAUCUAUUGAGCUCUCAC
rnacentral:lncRNA from 10 species